AAAUUGAAGAGUUUGAUCAUGGCUCAGAUUGAACGCUGGCGGCAGGCCUAACACAUGCAAGUCGAACGGUAACAGGAAACAGCUUGCUGCUUUGCUGACGAGUGGCGGACGGGUGAGUAAUGUCUGGGAAACUGCCUGAUGGAGGGGGAUAACUACUGGAAACGGUAGCUAAUACCGCAUAACGUCGCAAGACCAAAGAGGGGGACCUUCGGGCCUCUUGCCAUCGGAUGUGCCCAGAUGGGAUUAGCUUGUUGGUGGGGUAACGGCUCACCAAGGCGACGAUC
rnacentral:rRNA from 1 species